CACCGCCGAGACGUGCUCCUUUUGAAGACACAUCAUGGGAGCGUGGCUCCAGAGGAGGAAACAACUCAGAAUGCACAGCCACCUCCUUCCCGCUUCCCACCCGCCCAGCUUCACGUGCAGUGGGGAAGGAAACAGCCCCAGGGAAACACCCUGGUCUGCAUUUCCAUCUGGGCACAGUCUGACACAGCCCUGGGAACGGCCAGGCACAGCAGGAUCUUCCACCCUCCGCAAUCAAAGCAAGGCAAAAGCUCCCUCUCCUUUUCCCCUGUUGCCAAAGGGUAGAAAUCCCACCGAGAUCCAAAGCGUAUCAUUCCAGUGGGAGAUUUCCCCUGGGAGGAUUGGUUAUUUGAUGACUGGCUUGUUCUGUAAGGUCUCAAUAUCCCCUUUUUUCUCUGUACAGCAGAGGAACAUGCACGAGAGCGGAGCUGCGCCGUUCGCGCAGCGAGCAGUGAUUCUUCAACUCGGGAAGCU